rnacentral:tRNA from 3 species
GGGCCUGUAACUCAGUUGGGAGAGUGUCUGCUUUGCACGCAGGAAGUCGCAAGUUCAAGUCUUGUCAGGUCCA